UNGNGGGCAGNCUAANACAUGCAAGUCGAGCGGAAACGAGUUAACUGAACCUUCGGGGAACGUUAACGGCGUCGAGCGGCGGACGGGUGAGUAAUGCCUGGGAAAUUGCCCUGAUGUGGGGGAUAACCAUUGGAAACGAUGGCUAAUACCGCAUAAUAGCCCGGUUCUUCGGAAUGGGUCUCAAAGAGGGGGACCUUUUAGGCCUCUCGCGUCAGGAUAUGCCCAGGUGGGAUUAGCUAGUUGGUGAGGUAAUGGCUCACCAAGGCGACGAUCCCUAGCUGGUCUGAGAGGAUGAUCAGCCACACUGGAACUGAGACACGGUCCAGACUCCUACGGGAGGCAGCAGUGGGGAAUAUUGCACAAUGGGCGCAAGCCUGAUGCAGCCAUGCCGCGUGUAUGAAGAAGGCCUUCGGGUUGUAAAGUACUUUCAGCAGUGAGGAAGGUGGGUAUGUUAAUAGCAUACACAUUUGACGUUAGCUGCAGAAGAAGCACCGGCUAACUCCGUGCCAGCAGCCGCGGUAAUACGGAGGGUGCGGGCGUUAAUCGGAAUUACUGGGCGUAAAGCGCAUGCAGGUGGUUUGUUAAGUCAGAUGUGAAAGCCCGGGGCUCAACCUCGGAAUUGCAUUUGAAACUGGCAAACUAGAGUACUGUAGAGGGGGGUAGAAUUUCAGGUGUAGCGGUGAAAAUGCGUAGAGAUCUGAAGGAAUACCCGGUGGCGAAGGCGGCCCCCUUGGACAGAUACUGACACUCAGAUGCGAAAGCGUGGGGGAGCAAAAGAGGAUUNAGAUAC
rnacentral:rRNA from 1 species